rnacentral:rRNA from 1 species
AGUGAACGCUGGCGGUAGGCCUAACACAUGCAAGUCGAACGGCAGCACAGGAGAGCUUGCUCUCUGGGUGGCGAGUGGCGGACGGGUGAGGAAUACAUCGGAAUCUACUCUGUCGUGGGGGAUAACGUAGGGAAACUUACGCUAAUACCGCAUACGACCUACGGGUGAAAGCAGGGGACCUUCGGGCCUUGCGCGAUUGAAUGAGCCGAUGUCGGAUUAGCUAGUUGGCGGGGUAAAGGCCCACCAAGGCGACGAUCCGUAGCUGGUCUGAGAGGAUGAUCAGGCACACUGGAACUGAGACACGGUCCAGACUCCUACGGGAGGCAGCAGUGGGGAAUAUUGGCCAAUGGGCGCAAGCCUGAUCCAGCCAUACCGCGUGGGUGAAGAAGGCCUUCGGGUUGUAAAGCCCUUUUGUUGGGAAAGAAAUCCAGCUGGCUAAUACCCGGUUGGGAUGACGGUACCCAAAGAAUAAGCACCGGCUAACUUCGUGCCAGCAGCCGCCGUAA